GACGUAGGGCGCGAGCGUUGUCCGGAUUUAUUGGGCGUAAAGAGCUCGUAGGCGGCUUGUCGCGUCGACUGUGAAAACCCGCGGCUCAACCGGGGAACUGCGUCCGAUACUGGUGGGCUCGAAUCCGGGAGAGGGAUGUGGAAUUCCAGGUGUAGCGGUGAAAUGCGUAGAUAUCUGGAGGAACACCGGUGGCGAAGGCGGCAUCCUGGACCGGUAUUGACGCUGAUGCGCGAAAGCCAGGGGAGCAAACGGG
rnacentral:rRNA from 1 species